rnacentral:lncRNA from 1 species
GGCAAAAUUAAUCACCACUCAUUUACUUUGUGUUGAUACUGGUGCCUGACACUGCACUGCCUUGUGCUUUGGUGUCAGUAACUUUGAAAUUGUUUACGGAAAAGCUCGUGGCUCCCACUGAUUUCAUCUGCUCUUGCAAUUUCGCUAUGAGUCAUCCAAUAUGUUGUAAACAAGAAAGGCUCGCCAAUUUUCCACUCAAUGGAAAAGUCCUGUAUGCUUUGAUAGCAAUACACCAGAGACAGCAUAUAAUGGAAAUGUCGUGGAGCACCAGCUCAAAAGCAGAGGAAAAUGGCUGAAGAAUUAACUCUCAAAAGAUAUUUUUCUUUCCUCCUUUUCCUAUUUUCCUUUUUUCUUUUUAAUGUAUUCUUUCUCUCUUUUUCUUUCCCUUUAAUAAUAUGCAUAUAAAAAAAGGCUUUCAAUCUCAAAUAGGC